rnacentral:lncRNA from 1 species
GCGGCCUUGGGUUUGGGCUCCAGCCCCAGCCGGGCCCCCUCGCGCCGCUGCGGCUGCUGCGCGGUGAGGUCGUGACAAGUCACAGCUAACUUGCCCUCCGCGCCAUUCCACGCCACCAGGAAGCGCAGCCGGUGCCUCUCGGCAUCGGCGAAGAGGCCUUGCCGGACCGGCGCCCAGCCCUCCAGGCUGUCGAGCUGCUCGUCCUCCAUGGCCGUCGGCGGCAGCGGCCCUAGGACUCGGCGGGCGCGGGCCUGACCUCGUCGCACUGCCUGUCAGGGGACAGUCCCAGGCUGGAGUGCAAUGGCAUGAUCUCGGCUCACUGCGACCUCUGCCUCUUGGGUUCAAGCGAUUUUCUUGCCUCAGCCUUCGCAGUAGCUGGGAUUACAGGUGCGCACCAACAUGCCUGGCUAGCAUAACUGAAGGUGAAAGGACAGAAUCACCGUGUGUUACUGGCACAGAUGCAUCGGCUAGUGAAGAAAGAAGACAUUCAAACUGUAAGUUGCAUUCACGUGGGAAGCACAAAGAAUUAAAUUCAAAACAAUGAAACAUUAGAGAAAAGCAUGGAGUUAAAACACAACAGAAUCAGAUGUUUACUAUUUCUCAUUUUAACACUAGUGCUUUGCGGGCUUCUAAUAAAGUUGUACUCCAGGAGGCUAAGACUGAAAAGUGACACUAGUGAAAAGUAGCAUUGAAAUAGUUCCUAGAAAAGUUGGGUGAAUGUGGGGCAAAGAUGCUACUAAACUUUAAUUUUCCAUCGACACACAAAUUCAAAGUUUUCCAGAACUGGCAAGUAAAAUGGAAGAUCCACUCACAGGACACAUGCAGUGUGUGAGGGGAAUGCUUUUCAGCACUUCUUGAUGGAUGCACAAAUAAUGCCAACGUGGUAAAUGUCUUUGGUAAAUGUGCAAUGGAAUGUAGUGGUUGUGUGAAGGAAGAAUUUUGUUUUCUGCUUCAUUUUUGAUAAACACAAGCAGCUCUGGACUGUGUGAAACCAUGGAGCACUGCACAGUUAACAGAGGUGGUUUGGAGUUUUUUAGCUUUGCAUAAGAGGAUGUUCUGAUGCAGAAUCUACAGUGACAGGAAACCAUUCUGGACAAGUUACAGAAUUAAGGGGCUUGUGCCGGGAUGGAAAUAAAUCAAUGACUUCUGUCUUUGAGAAGGUUUUUCUCUGCUCCUCUGUGAUGGUU